rnacentral:miRNA from 1 species
GGACAUGGGUUGGUUUGCAAGA